rnacentral:rRNA from 1 species
AUGAACGCUAGCGACAGGCUUAACACAUGCAAGUCGAGGGGCAGCACAGGUAGCAAUACCGGGUGGCGACCGGCGCACGGGUGAGUAACGCGUAUGCAACUUGCCUAUCAGAGGGGGAUAACCCGGCGAAAGUCGGACUAAUACCGCAUGAAGCAGGGGCCCCGCAUGGGGAUAUUUGCUAAAGAUUCAUCGCUGAUAGAUAGGCAUGCGUUCCAUUAGGCAGUUGGCGGGGUAACGGCCCACCAAACCGACGAUGGAUAGGGGUUCUGAGAGGAAGGUCCCCCACAUUGGUACUGAGACACGGACCAAACUCCUACGGGAGGCAGCAGUGAGGAAUAUUGGUCAAUGGCCGAGAGGCUGAACCAGCCAAGUCGCGUGAGGGAUGAGGGUUCUAUGGAUCGUAAACCUCUUUUAUAAGGGAAUAAAGUGCGGGACGUGUCCCGUUUUGUAUGUACCUUAUGAAUAAGGAUCGGCUAACUCCGUGCCAGCAGCCGCGGUAAUACGGAGGAUCCGAGCGUUAUCCGGAUUUAUUGGGUUUAAAGGGUGCGUAGGCGGCCUUUUAAGUCAGCGGUGAAAGUCUGUGGCUCAACCAUAGAAUUGCCGUUGAAACUGGGGGGCUUGAGUAUGUUUGAGGCAGGCGGAAUGCGUGGUGUAGCGGUGAAAUGCAUAGAUAUCACGCAGAACCCCGAUUGCGAAGGCAGCCUGCCAAGCCAUUACUGACGCUGAUGCACGAAAGCGUGGGGAUCAAACAGGAUUAGAUACCCUGGUAGUCCACGCAGUAAACGAUGAUCACUAGCUGUUUGCGAUACACUGUAAGCGGCACAGCGAAAGCGUUAAGUGAUCCACCUGGGGAGUACGCCGGCAACGGUGAAACUCAAAGGAAUUGACGGGGGCCCGCACAAGCGGAGGAACAUGUGGUUUAAUUCGAUGAUACGCGAGGAACCUUACCCGGGUUUGAACGCAUUCGGACCGAGGUGGAAACACCUUUUCUAGCAAUAGCCGUUUGCGAGGUGCUGCAUGGUUGUCGUCAGCUCGUGCCGUGAGGUGUCGGCUUAAGUGCCAUAACGAGCGCAACCCUUGCCACUAGUUACUAACAGGUUAGGCUGAGGACUCUGGUGGGACUGCCAGCGUAAGCUGCGAGGAAGGCGGGGAUGACGUCAAAUCAGCACGGCCCUUACAUCCGGGGCGACACACGUGUUACAAUGGCGUGGACAAAGGGAUGCCACCUGGCGACAGGGAGCGAAUCCCCAAACCACGUCUCAGUUCGGAUCGGAGUCUGCAACCCGACUCCGUGAAGCUGGAUUCGCUAGUAAUCGCGCAUCAGCCAUGGCGCGGUGAAUACGUUCCCGGGCCUUGUACACACCGCCCGUCAAGCCAUGGGAGCCGGGGGUACCUGAAGUCCGUAACCGAAAGGAUCGGCCUAGGGUAAAACUGGUGACUGGGGCU